rnacentral:rRNA from 1 species
UACGUAGGGGGCUAGCGUUGUCCGGAAUCAUUGGGCGUAAAGCGCGUGUAGGCGGUCCGGUAAGUCCGCUGUGAAAGUCGGGGGCUCAACCCUCGAAUGCCGGUGGAUACUGUCGGGCUAGAGUACGGAAGAGGCGAGUGGAAUUCCUGGUGUAGCGGUGAAAUGCGCAGAUAUCAGGAGGAACACCCGUAGCGAAGGCGGCACUCUGGGCCGAUACUGACACUGAGGAGCGAAAGCGUGGGGAGCGAACAGG